CGCGGCCUAUCAGCUUGUUGGUGAGGUAAUGGCUCACCAAGGCUUCGACGGGUAGCCGGCCUGAGAGGGCGACCGGCCACACUGGGACUGAGAUACGGCCCAGACUCCUACGGGAGGCAGCAGUGGGGAAUAUUGCACAAUGGGCGCAAGCCUGAUGCAGCAACGCCGCGUGCGGGAUGACGGCCUUCGGGUUGUAAACCGCUUUCAGUAGGGACGAAGCUAACGUGACGGUACCUACAGAAGAAGGACCGGCUAACUACGUGCCAGCAGCCGCGGUGAUACGUAGGGUCCGAGCGUUGUCCGGAAUUAUUGGGCGUAAAGGGCUUGUAGGCGGUCCGUCGCGUCAGGAGUGAAAACUCGGGGCUUAACCCCGAGCCUGCUUUUGAUACGGGCGGACUAGAGGGAUGCAGGGGAGAACGGAAUUCCUGGUGGAGCGGUGGAAUGCGCAGAUAUCAGGAGGAACACCGGUGGCGAAGGCGGUUCUCUGGGCAUCACCUGACGCUGAGAAGCGAAAGCGUGGGGAGUAAACAGGCUUAGAUACCCUGGUAGUCCACGCCGUAAACGGUGGGUACUAGGUGUGGGGGACAUUCCACGUUCUCCGUGCCGAAGCUAACGCAUUAAGUGCCCCGCCUGGGGAGUACGG
rnacentral:rRNA from 1 species